CUGUCUCUUGCUUCAACAGUGCUUGGAUGGGACAU
rfam:Ovis aries breed Texel chromosome 1, whole genome shotgun sequence.